rnacentral:sRNA from 1 species
CACAUUUUAGAUAGAGAACCUGCAAAUUUCUACAGGGACUUUUCCUGCCAGCAGAAAUUUGGAACUUUGAGCAGAUGUUUUGUAGAGGUCAGCCGUUUUAUGAAAAGCAGACGUUACAUGAAAAUACAACGCCAACGCCAAAAUGGAUCAAAAAGGCAGUCAGAGAGAUUAAUGGCAGCAGCUAGUGUUCAGGUACAGAAAACUCGACAAAUGAAGUUGUAAUUUUGACUCAAGUCGGUUGUUUUACAUUAGAAGACACCAAGAAAAGAGCAAAUUAGUGUAAAUUAGUCUGGCAAUUGUGAACGGAUACAGAUAUCUUCAAUGACAACAAAUUGUCCGUAGCCGCCACAUGACCAAAUAGGAAACUUC